UGAAAACAGACAUAAUUAUUUCUCACUCUUUAGUUGGCUUUUUGCAAACAUAAUUUACAUGCAAUAAAAUUCACCCUUUUCAGCAUGCAGAUUCAACGACUGUAAAUAGUCAUGUAACGGCUACGACAAUCAAGACAUGGAACAUUCCCAGCUCUCCCAGACAACCCCUCACACCCUGAGUCCUCUUCCCUGACCCCCGGUGAGUAUAUCCUUCAUGAUUCCACUUUCAUGAUAUUCUGGAAAAGGCAAAACUGUGAGUGGAAAUUAAACGCGCGGCUGCCGGGGACUGGGGAAUUGUGUUGUCUUUCAGCCAUCUCGUAGCUUCAGGACAGGGCUGUCUGUGGGAACCUGAGGCAGAGGGCAGCGGCCAGACCCACCUGCAACCCUGACUCUUCAUCCCCCCGCUUAGAGCUCGCACCCCUGACUCCCAUUGGCUGAACUGGGCAGAAGCCGGGAGGCAAGAGGCCCCCUGUGGAAGGAAGCUGUACCAGGUUAUCUUUUUCUGACAAAGGACUAACUUCUUGGGAGUUUGUGUCACCUCUUCUGUUGAAGUACCACUUGGAUGCUUCAGGAUUUUCAUGUCAGAGAGGCUAACAAUGAGAACACAUGGACACAGGAAGGGGAACGCCACAC
rnacentral:lncRNA from 1 species